rnacentral:pre_miRNA from 1 species
GUGAGCUAGGAAGAGGGAGAAAUACUCUAAGAGCGGUGAGAAUGGGAACGGGGAGGAAACCCUGACCAGAGGUGGAUAUCCGCCUCAGUGUUUCCCCUUGCCUCCAUUCCUAUUGUUCUUAGGUUCUCCUUCCCCUUCCUUUUACCU